GAGUUUGUCGGUUGGUCGGGCUUCACUGUCCGCACUGGCCUGAUGGAUUCCUACCUUCUGAAUAACCAGCAUGCUAUUAAGUUAGUGCGUUGGGGAAGCAGAGCUAUUACCUUGAAAAAAUUAGAGUGCUUAAAGCAGGCUUACGCUUGAAUAGAUUAGCAUGGAAUAAUAAAAUAGGACGGCAUGGUUCUAUUUUGUUGGUUUUGAGGAACGAAGUA
rnacentral:rRNA from 1 species